UGAUUUAUUCUGGAAUAAUAUUCCUACAUUUUUAUUACUCAAUAUUAUGUUAAAAAGUUACGUUUUAAUGCUUAAAAAAUGGGCAUUCUGCCACUACUAUUUUCUGCUAGUACUAUUUUAGCAUUUAUUAAGAUUUUAAAGGCUAUUUUGGAGUUUAGCUAAUAUUUCAGCUACAUGCUAGCUUAUUUGUCUAACCUGGAUUUUUUUUUAAUUAGGUUAAUUUGAUAUUUAGCUAAUACUUUAAGCUGACUAUUAGCUUCAGCAUUUUCAGCUAUCAGCACUAGCAUCUUUAGCUUACAGCAUUCACACUAGCAUUAUUGCAGGUAAUGCUAUAUAUCUAGUUCAUAAUUAUGUUAAAAAGUUACAGUUUUAAAAAUGUAGUUUUAGAGUGUUCAAUAAAUGUUCAUCCUGUUCGUCCCGCGACCUCAGGUGUGAUUUUGGCCCCUUGUGCCAUUGAGUUUGACCCCCUGGUCUACUCUUCGGUCAUCCAUACCUGACCUGCGUUGGUCCAUGGCACACGCCUGAUCCUCCUCCAUCACACUGAGCCUGGUAGCUCCACCCCCACACCAUGGCCACUCCCACGUCUCCACGCGUCCACUACCCGACCAGUAGGAUCUCUGCAGGGGGAAGUACCAUGGACGGGGGAGCCCGUACAUGCCUGCAGCAGAGAGACAAGACGGCCCUACAGAAGAUGUCCUUGAAGCAGGGAAGAGUUCGGAGCAGAGACGGCUCACCUGGAUGAACGGCCUCGAUGUACCAGUCCCUGCUACCCUGCUACAGAUACAGUGGACCGAGGCUGCUCCACCACUGAUCUCUCACCAGAACAUGAUGGUGGCCACGGCGUAAAUGGUCAGGAAGAGCCAGAUGAUCAACGGGUCGCUGUGGAGUAAGACCCGGCCGUACUUCAGGAUGGCCGUCAGAGCGGUGACAGAGAUGGACAGCUGGACGAAGCCAGUGAUGAACCAAGCCACCCAGUGGACUGCAUUGUUCAGGCCCAUCAUCUUCAUCACCUGAGAAGAAGCACACACAACUCCUCACAGCGCUCUGCUUCAAGCAGUACUUAAGUCCUUUAUAGUUCAACGGACUCUGAGGGAAAAGUUGAUAUUUUUUAUGUCGGUGUUAAUGAUCUGUCCUACUUCGUUAGAUUUUCCUACCCGUAGCACAAACUGACAGCUCUAGCUCUCCAAAUGUCCAACCUUAUCAGAUACUCCUACCUACUGCAUUUGAAAGAACGUACAGUCUUUGUGAUUGGUUGUAAACACAGCAGAGCAGGACAGAAUUACAGGGAGUAACAUGGCUUCACUGGGGGGUCCGACAGCUUAACCUCGAGGCAGCACAGCCUGAUCACAAGAUGGAAGGGUAGCACAGAUUCAUGGGCGGUCCACUAAGACCUAAAAAGAUGAUGUAUAUUUGAUUUACGCAUGUUCAGUAAGUGUAGGUAGGACAAAAUCACGGGUAGGAAGGAUUUAUAAAAAUCUGGUACUACCCCCC
rnacentral:lncRNA from 1 species